rnacentral:lncRNA from 1 species
UAUAUGGAGGAGGUGGUGAUGGUGGAGGAGGAGAUGGGUAAACAUAAGGUGGAGGAGGUGGUGACUUAUACACAUAUGGAGGAGGUGGGGGUGAUUUGUAGAUAUAUGGAGGAGGAGGCGAUGGUGGAGGAGGAGAUGGGUAAACAUAAGGUGGAGGAGGUGGUGAUUUGUAUACGUAUGGAGGAGGUGGUGAUGGUGGAGGAGGAGACGGGUAAACGUAAGGUGGAGGAGGUGGUGACUUGUACACAUAUGGAGGAGGUGGGGGUGACUUGUACACAUAUGGAGGAGGUGGUGAUGGUGGAGGAGGAGACGGGUAAACAUAAGGUGGAGGAGGUGGUGACUUGUACACGUAUGGAGGAGGUGGGGGUGACUUGUACACAUAUGGAGGAGGUGGCGGUGACUUGUAUACAUACGGAGGAGGUGGUGAUGGUGGAGGAGGAGACGGGUAAACGUAAGGUGGAGGAGGUGGUGACUUGUACACGUAUGGAGGAGGUGGGGGUGACUUGUAUACAUAUGGAGGUGGCGGUGAUGGUGGAGGAGGAGACGGGUAAACAUAAGGUGGAGGAGGUGGUGACUUGUACACAUAUGGAGGAGGUGGUGGUGAUUUAUAGACAUAAG